UGUGCACUCAUGUGGGAAAAAAUUUAGUUAUGCACUCUCAAGUUUCAUAUUUCCUAGUAUACAUUGCAUGAUUUUGCUUACCCUCUCUAUAUGGAUCUUUUUUUAUACUUUUGAUUUUUUUUUCAGGAUAGAUUAUUGGUGGAUAGAUCAACUCUUGCACACCUAAUAUAUGGAGUUUUACUUGUGUCCGGCUUCACAAGAGGGCUUCCGGCAUGAUGAAGCCCAACACAACCCCCUAUUGACUAAGAUGCAAUGAUCCUGUGCAUCUCUGAUUAAUGGUGAAGUGAGCAAUGAGUGUCACCCCGGAUGAUGGAGCAUGUUGGAUUGUCUUCCUCGUUGAAACGAUGGCCAUCCUUGCUCCAUCAAGAUUUUGAGGUUCUCCCUCUCCUGGAUCUCCAAGUUGGUUACUCAUGAAAUUAUUCGCAGUUCGACCUCAUGUGUGCGCCAACGCGAUGUUGCUCACAACAAUUGUCCCAAACUUGGCGGCUUGGCCGACUCCAAAGGUCCAUAGAUCUGAUGUGAUGUCCCCAUGGUCGACACCAGUUGUCCAAGGAUUUUUCGCAGACCCACAACAAGUGUAGGGAUUUGUAGUCGGGGAAACCAUGCAAGGUUACAGUGGA